rnacentral:rRNA from 1 species
GACGAACGCUGGCGGCGUGCUUAACACAUGCAAGUCGAACGAAGUGGCGAACGGGUGAGUAAUACGUGAGUAACCUUCCCUCCUUUUUGGGAUAAGCCUUGGAAACGGGUUCUAAUACCGGAUAAAGGUGUAUGGGCUCGCGGCUUAUUAGCUUGUUGGUGGGGUGAUGGGCUAACAAGGCGGUGACGGGUAGCCGGCCUGAGAGGGUGACCGGCGACAUGGGGACUGAGAUAAGGCACAGACUACGAAGGGGGGGAGAAGUGGGGGAUAUUGCACAAUGGGCGAAAGCCGGAUGCAGCGACGGCGAGUGGGGGAUGAAGGUUUUCGGGUUGUAAACCUCUUUCGCUAUAGAACGGGUAGGUGGAGAAGAAGCGCCGGCUAACUACGUGCCAGCAGCCGCGGUAAUAC